rnacentral:rRNA from 1 species
UUAAGCGACUAAGCGUACACGGUGGAUGCCCUGGCAGUCAGAGGCGAUGAAGGACGUGCUAAUCUGCGAAAAGCGUCGGUAAGGUGAUAUGAACCGUUAUAACCGGCGAUGUCCGAAUGGGGAAACCCAGUGUGAUUCGUCACACUAUCGUUAACUGAAUACAUAGGUUAACGAGGCGAACCGGGGGAACUGAAACAUCUAAGUACCCCGAGGAAAAGAAAUCAACCGAGAUUCCCCAGUAGCGGCGAGCGAACGGGGAGCAGCCCAGAGUCUGAAUCAGCUUGUGUGUUAGUGGAACGGUCUGGAAAGUCCGACGGUACAGGGUGAUAGUCCCGUACACCAAAAUGCACAGGCUGUGAACUCGAAGAGUAGGGCGGGACACGUGGUAUCCUGUCUGAAUAUGGGGGGACCAUCCUCCAAGGCUAAAUACUCCUGACUGACCGAUAGUGAACCAGUACCGUGAGGGAAAGGCGAAAAGAACCCCGGCGAGGGGAGUGAAAAAGAACCUGAAACCGUGUACGUACAAGCAGUGGGAGCACCUUCGGGUGUGACUGCGUACCUUUUGUAUAAUGGGUCAGCGACUUAUAUUCUGUAGCAAGGUUAACCGUAUAGGGGAGCCGCAGGGAAACCGAGUCUUAACUGGGCGUUAAGUUGCAGGGUAUAGACCCGAAACCCGGUGAUCUAGCCAUGGGCAGGUUGAAGGUUGGGUAACACUAACUGGAGGACCGAACCGACUAAUGUUGAAAAAUUAGCGGAUGACUUGUGGCUGGGGGUGAAAGGCCAAUCAAACCGGGAGAUAGCUGGUUCUCCCCGAAAGCUAUUUAGGUAGCGCCUCGUGAACUCAUCUUCGGGGGUAGAGCACUGUUUCGGCUAGGGGGUCAUCCCGACUUACCAACCCGAUGCAAACUACGAAUACCGAAGAAUGUUAUCACGGGAGACACACGGCGGGUGCUAACGUCCGUCGUGAAGAGGGAAACAACCCAGACCGCCAGCUAAGGUCCCAAAGUCAUGGUUAAGUGGGAAACGAUGUGGGAAGGCACAGACAGCCAGGAUGUUGGCUUAGAAGCAGCCAUCAUUUAAAGAAAGCGUAAUAGCUCACUGGUCGAGUCGGCCUGCGCGGAAGAUGUAACGGGGCUAAACCAUGCACCGAAGCUGCGGCAGCGACACUAUGUGUUGUUGGGUAGGGGAGCGUUCUGUAAGCCUGCGAAGGUGUGCUGUGAGGCAUGCUGGAGGUAUCAGAAGUGCGAAUGCUGACAUAAGUAACGAUAAAGCGGGUGAAAAGCCCGCUCGCCGGAAGACCAAGGGUUCCUGUCCAACGUUAAUCGGGGCAGGGUGAGUCGACCCCUAAGGCGAGGCCGAAAGGCGUAGUCGAUGGGAAACAGGUUAAUAUUCCUGUACUUGGUGUUACUGCGAAGGGGGACGGAGAAGGCUAUGUUAGCCGGGCGACGGUUGUCCCGGUUUAAGCAUGUAGGCUGGUUAUCCAGGCAAAUCCGGAUAAUCAAGGCUGAGGUGUGAUGACGAGGCACUACGGUGCUGAAGUAACAAAUGCCCUGCUUCCAGGAAAAGCCUCUAAGCAUCAGGUAACAUCAAAUCGUACCCCAAACCGACACAGGUGGUCAGGUAGAGAAUACCAAGGCGCUUGAGAGAACUCGGGUGAAGGAACUAGGCAAAAUGGUGCCGUAACUUCGGGAGAAGGCACGCUGGUGUGUAGGUGAAGCCCCUGCGGGUGGAGCUGAGACCAGUCGAAGAUACCAGCUGGCUGCAACUGUUUAUUAAAAACACAGCACUGUGCAAACACGAAAGUGGACGUAUACGGUGUGACGCCUGCCCGGUGCCGGAAGGUUAAUUGAUGGGGUUAUCCGUAAGGAGAAGCUCUUGAUCGAAGCCCCGGUAAACGGCGGCCGUAACUAUAACGGUCCUAAGGUAGCGAAAUUCCUUGUCGGGUAAGUUCCGACCUGCACGAAUGGCGUAAUGAUGGCCAGGCUGUCUCCACCCGAGACUCAGUGAAAUUGAACUCGCUGUGAAGAUGCAGUGUACCCGCGGCAAGACGGAAAGACCCCGUGAACCUUUACUAUAGCUUGACACUGAACAUUGAGCCUUGAUGUGUAGGAUAGGUGGGAGGCUUUGAAGCGUGGACGCCAGUCUGCGUGGAGCCAACCUUGAAAUACCACCCUUUAAUGUUUGAUGUUCUAACGUUGGCCCCUGACCGGGGUUGCGGACAGUGUCUGGUGGGUAGUUUGACUGGGGCGGUCUCCUCCCAAAGCGUAACGGAGGAGCACGAAGGUUAGCUAAUCCUGGUCGGACAUCAGGAGGUUAGUGCAAUGGCAUAAGCUAGCUUGACUGCGAGCGUGACGGCGCGAGCAGGUGCGAAAGCAGGUCAUAGUGAUCCGGUGGUUCUGAAUGGAAGGGCCAUCGCUCAACGGAUAAAAGGUACUCCGGGGAUAACAGGCUGAUACCGCCCAAGAGUUCAUAUCGACGGCGGUGUUUGGCACCUCGAUGUCGGCUCAUCACAUCCUGGGGCUGAAGUAGGUCCCAAGGGUAUGGCUGUUCGCCAUUUAAAGUGGUACGCGAGCUGGGUUUAGAACGUCGUGAGACAGUUCGGUCCCUAUCUGCCGUGGGCGCUGGAGAAUUGAGGGGGGCUGCUCCUAGUACGAGAGGACCGGAGUGGACGCAUCACUGGUGUUCGGGUUGUCAUGCCAAUGGCACUGCCCGGUAGCUAAAUGCGGAAGAGAUAAGUGCUGAAAGCAUCUAAGCACGAAACUUGCCCCGAGAUGAGUUCUCCCUGAGACUUUAAGUCUCCUGAAGGAACGUUGAAGACGACGACGUUGAUAGGCCGGGUGUGUAAGCGCAGCGAUGCGUUGAGCUAACCGGUACUAAUGAACCGUGAGGCUUAACCU